rnacentral:lncRNA from 1 species
UUCAUACUACCAUUCUCUAAAUAAAAUAAGAAUAAAUAUUUAAGUAAAAUAUUAAAAUAUAAUAUUUAACUAAUUAAUUACAAAAAAUCACCAAAAUAUCAUCAACAUCAUCAUUACAUUCUAGAAUUCUCCCUCUUACUAAUUGACCAUUUUACCCUUUAUGAUCUUUCAAAAUUUCAUCCUUAAAUCAUCACUUAAUUUGGUAAAAUUACGAUUUAGUCCCUCACAAUUCUUCACCUAUUCAAUUUGCUCCCUACAUGAAUUCCAUAUCUUAGUAUAUUGGAUUAUUUUCACUUUUGGUCCUUCAAUUUUUUUAUUUUUACACUUCAAUCCCCUAAAUUUUGAAUAUUUACACUUGAAAAAAAACUUUUCACAUAUUUACGAUUUAGUCCCUUCCUUAAUACAUCAUGUCAUGCUUCUUGAUUUAACUCUCUUUUGAUAUAUUUCAACUUUCAUUUUCUUUGAUCUUAUACCUUAUUUCGAUAAGAUUUCAUCUCAUAUUAUUUACGACCAAUGGGGUUUUGAGGAUGUUACACUGUAAUUGCUAAAAAUGGGUAAGUGAGAGCCACAAAGUGGUUGUACUUAGUCAGUUGAUUGACCAUAAUUAGAAUAUUGCCUUUCUCUUUUGAGUUAGGGAGGCCCUCGAUAAAAUCUAAACUCAUUGCAAACCAUGCUCAAUCGGGUAUAGCUGAGGGCUGAAAUAGGCUAGGAGAAACAACCUGGUCAGACUUGCAAGCUUGGCAAAUAGGGCACUCCUUCACCUAUUGCUUAACAUCAUUAAAAAGGCAUUUCCAAUAGAGUAAACUGGUUAUGUGAUAUUUUCUAGUAUGGACUCCAAAAUGCCUUCCAACUACCCCCAUGGAAAUUGUUGAAAAGGUCCUUCCUAAGAGUGUCACAAUUUCCCAUUAAAAUUUUGCCUUUCCUUCUCACAACUUGGCAAUCCUACUAAUAAUUAAGAUGAAUGUGUGGUUGCUGCUAAACCUCUAAGCAGAACUGGUGUAGUUUAGGUUUUACUAGUGAGGAAGUUAAAAUUCUAGACCACAUUUCAGACCAAAUGAUACUGCCAGUACAUUACAGGAAUUGCCCUUCUUCUAUUUGUGGUUUUCAAGACAUCUACUAUAAUGUUUUGAGUUUCUCUUCUGUAGGUCACCAAGUAAUCGUAGCCAAGAAUUUUGGCAACCCAUUUUUAUUGGUAAGAGGUAAUAGCCUGGCCAUCAGUCAAAAAAUUCAAACUCUGUUGAUUUGUCCGUAUGUGAAACCUUCUUCCGACAAGGUAAGGAUGCCACUUUUUAACUACUAACAGUACGACCCACAUCUUUUUGUCAUAUAUGGACAAGGCUUGAUGCUUAAUCCCCAAGGUUUUACUAAAAUAAGUUAGAGAUCGUCCCUUCUGUUGCAAGACUGCCCCAAUACCUUGACCAUCGGCAUCUGUGUCAAUGCAAAAUUCAGUGUUGAAAUUAGGCAAGGCUAGAAUAAGUGCUUGACACAUUGCUGACUUAAGUUGUUGGAAAGCUGCUUCAACUUCAGAAGACUAAUGCCACUUGACUUUUGGUUAGGGGACAAGCUACAAUGCCAUAGUUCUUUAUAAGCUAUCUAUAAUAACCAAAGAGUCCAAGAAACCCUCGAAGCUCCUUACGACAAGUAGGGGUUCGCCAAGUAAAUAUUGUUUCCACCCUAGUGGCAUCCAUGGCCACUGAUCCUCUGGAAAUGAUUUGGCUCAGGUAUUCAAUUUCAAUUGUGCCAAGAGCGCAUUUGGACCUCUUAGCAUAUAACUGAUUUUGCCUUAGGAGUUGAAGGAUUGUUUGAAGAUGCUUCAAAUAUAAUGGCCAAUUGUCCGAGUACACAAGAAUGUUAUUAAAAAAAUACUAAGACAAACUUCCUCAAGAAAGGCCUGAAGAUAGAGUUCAUCAAUAAUUGAAUGCUGAAGGGGGCAUUGGUUAAGCCAAAAGGCAUAGCCAGAAAUUCAUAAUGGCCUUCGUGGGUUCUAAAAGCAGUUUUGUGAAUGUCUUUAUCUCACAUGCGAAUCUAAUGGUACCUAGAUCGUAAAUCAAGCUUGGAAACAUAGGUAACAGUCCCUAGUUUAUCAAGUAAUUCUUCUACAACAGGAAUAGGGAAAUCAUCAUUGAUGGUAUGUUGAUUUAGUUGCCUAUAGUCCACACAAAGACACCAACUACCAUCUUUUUUUUUUACCAUAACAAUGAGUGAUACAAAGGGGCUAUAAUUGUCUCGAUGACCCAAACUUCAAACAUUUCCUUUAUGAGCCUUUCUAUUUCACUCUUCUGUACAAUAGGAUAUCAAUACGGCUUGACCUUCACUACCACAUUUUCAUCAUUGAGGGGAAUACAGUGUUUUUGCAAUAUGUAAAGUGAAAGUUCCUUUGAAGACUGGCAUACAUCUUUAAAUUCUGCCAAUACCAAUUGCAGAUCCUCACUAUCAACCAAGCUUGACAUAUGUAAGAGGGUAAACUUGCUCGAUGUGAUGAACAAUGGCUAAAGACUCUGACUAGUCUAAUGCACCAUCUUGGUACUUUGAGUACCACUCAUCAUCUAAUAGUUCUUGGAAGUAUUCCCUACAAAGUACAUCAUUGAUCAUUGUAUUCAAACUGCAUAGUAAGAGAACUGAGAUCCCAAACUAUGGACCCCAAAAUAGUUAACCAUUGAAUACCGAGAACCAAGUCACAUCCUUUGAGAGCUAAGACUAAGUACAAUCUGCUGACCUUGUGCCUACUACUGUACAAAUACCCUGAGUAGACAUGAUACCCCCAUCAAUAAUAAUGACUUGCAACCUAAUAGAGAGUUCCACAGGAAGGUUUGACUAUCGAGUCAACUUGGCAUCCGGAAUCCACUAGUAUAAUACAUUGGAAUUCCUUAUUUGUACAACCACCCUCAUGGUUCUUGGUCCUUGAGACCCUUGUAGGGCAUGCAAAGACACAGUCAAUGGUGUACAAGUCUCCUCCUCCUAGUCAUUAGGCUCAAGUUGAUCCGAACAGUCUUGAUACUCAUCAGAUUGAAAACUCUUGACUUCACUUUCCACAUCAGAUUGAGGCUCUACAACCAUCUGAUACAAUUGAGACUUAGCACAUUUAUGGCUAGGAGUGUACUUAACUGCACACCAAAAGCACAACCCCUUCUCUCUCCUAUCUUCCAUCUCACUUUGAGAAAGAGACUUAAUAAGUCCCUUGUGACCACUUAUAGCAGAUAUAGGUCCACCCUAUCCUACAAUAAAUCCAAUCGAUGGCAGCAUUUUAGGUGUAGAAAACAAGGUUAGGGGUUUGCUAGUACUUGACUAAAGGUACUUCUUUGAUUGUUAGUUAUGUAGCAUAAUAUUGUCCACUUGUCAAGCAGCGAAGAAGCCCUCUACUAAUGAUAUAGGCUUGAAGAGCUGCAAAUAUUGGUCCAUGUCUCUCUGCAAGUUACUAAGAGCAUAAUUUUUAGGCAAAUGUAAUUAGUUCAACAAGCUUAUAAAGGCAACACGGUAUCAUGGUACUAGUCAACAGUACCCUGUUGCUUGAGUGAAACUAGCUCUGCCAUGGGGUCCAAAAAUGAACUAGACCCAAAUCUCUCUUUCAAGCCUUGUGCAUAUACAUAUUAGGUAAGCAUAUGAAGGCCCCCUAUGAGCAAAAAAAAAAUGGUGCCAAUCUAAAGCCUUACCUUGACAUGAUCCAAGAAGACUCUUUCAGCCUCAAAGAAUUGCUCCGUUUUCAACCACCAGCCCUUGAAGUCGGUCCAUCAAAACGUGGUCAGUCAAACUUGAAUGGCUUUGUUAGUGUCUCAAUACUACUCAUUCGUGAAGUAGCUCAUGUGUAAAUCAGCUUAGGUGCUGGAGAAAGUGCCAAGGUGUCUUUAGGAGGGAACCUUGGUGGUGGUGUGCCUCGAAUGCCUUUUCCUUUGUCUGGUGUUGACCCAAAAACUGCCAUUAGAUGGUUGGCCAAAAUAUCUCUCGAACAAAGAUUGCAACUCACUAUUAAUCUCACCCUUGAACUCUUCUCUAAUCUCUUUCAAUUGUGUCUCAAACUUACCAUCCAUUUGAGAAAAAUCAGUUUGAA